GACGAACGCUGGCGGUGUGCUUAACACAUGCAAGUCGAACGGUAAGGCCCUUUCGGGGGUACACGAGUGGCGAACGGGUGAGUAACACGUGAGUAACCUGCCCUCAUCUCUGGGAUAACAGUCGGAAACGGUUGCUAAUACUGGAUAUGAGCUUGCAAGGCAUCUUGUGGGUUGGAAAGAUUUUUUUUGGUUGGGGAUGGACUCGCGGCCUAUCAGCUUGUUGGUGAGGUAGUGGCUCACCAAGGCUUCGACGGGUAGCCGGCCUGAGAGGGCGACCGGCCACAUUGGGACUGAGAUACGGCCCAAACUCCUAUGGGAGGCAGCAGUGGGGAAUAUUGCACAAUGGACGGAAGUCUGAUGCAGCAACGCCGCGUGCGGGAUGACGGCCUUCGGGUUGUAAACCGCUUUCAAUUGUGACGAAGCUUUUUUGUGACGGUAGCAGUAGAAGAAGCACCGGCUAACUACGUG
rnacentral:rRNA from 1 species